UAUGGAGAGUUUGAUCCUGGCUCAGAGUGAACGCUGGCGGCGUGCCUAAUACAUGCAAGUCGAACGAUGAAGCUUCUAGCUUGCUAGAAUGCUGAUUAGUGGCGCACGGGUGAGUAACGCAUAGGUCAUGUGCCUCUUAGUUUGGGAUAGCCAUUGGAAACGAUGAUUAAUACCAGAUACUCCCUACGGGGGAAAGAUUUAUCGCUAAGAGAUCAGCCUAUGUCCUAUCAGCUUGUUGGUAAGGUAAUGGCUUACCAAGGCUAUGACGGGUAUCCGGCCUGAGAGGGUGAACGGACACACUGGAACUGAGACACGGUCCAGACUCCUACGGGAGGCAGCAGUAGGGAAUAUUGCUCAAUGGGGGAAACCCUGAAGCAGCAACGCCGCGUGGAGGAUGAAGGUUUUAGGAUUGUAAACUCCUUUUGUUAGAGAAGAUAAUGACGGUAUCUAACGAAUAAGCACCGGCUAACUCCGUGCCAGCAGCCGCGGUAAUACGGAGGGUGCAAGCGUUACUCGGAAUCACUGGGCGUAAAGAGCGCGUAGGCGGGAUAGUCAGUCAGGUGUGAAAUCCUAUGGCUUAACCAUAGAACUGCAUUUGAAACUACUAUUCUAGAGUGUGGGAGAGGUAGGUGGAAUUCUUGGUGUAGGGGUAAAAUCCGUAGAGAUCAAGAGGAAUACUCAUUGCGAAGGCGACCUGCUGGAACAUUACUGACGCUGAUUGCGCGAAAGCGUGGGGAGCAAACAGGAUUAGAUACCCUGGUAGUCCACGCCCUAAACGAUGGAUGCUAGUUGUUGGAGGGCUUAGUCUCUCCAGUAAUGCAGCUAACGCAUUAAGCAUCCCGCCUGGGGAGUACGGUCGCAAGAUUAAAACUCAAAGGAAUAGACGGGGACCCGCACAAGCGGUGGAGCAUGUGGUUUAAUUCGAAGAUACACGAAGAACCUUACCUAGGCUUGAUAUUGAGAGAAUCCGCUAGAAAUAGUGGAGUGUCUGGCUUGCCAGACCUUGAAAACAGGUGCUGCACGGCUGUCGUCAGCUCGUGUCGUGAGAUGUUGGGUUAAGUCCCGCAACGAGCGCAACCCCCUUUCUUAGUUGCUAACAGGUUAUGCUGAGAACUCUAAGGAUACUGCCUCCGUAAGGAGGAGGAAGGUGGGGACGACGUCAAGUCAUCAUGGCCCUUACGCCUAGGGCUACACACGUGCUACAAUGGGGUGCACAAAGAGAAGCAAUACUGUGAAGUGGAGCCAAUCUUCAAAACACCUCUCAGUUCGGAUUGUAGGCUGCAACUCGCCUGCAUGAAGCUGGAAUCGCUAGUAAUCGCAAAUCAGCCAUGUUGCGGUGAAUACGUUCCCGGGUCUUGUACUCACCGCCCGUCACACCAUGGGAGUUGUGUUUGCCUUAAGUCAGGAUGCUAAAUUGGCUACUGCCCACGGCACACACAGCGACUGGGGUGAAGUCGUAACAAGGUAACCGUAGGUGAACCUGCGGUUGGAUCACCUCCUU
rnacentral:rRNA from 1 species